rnacentral:rRNA from 1 species
AUACGGAGGAUGCGAGCGUUAUCCGGAUUUAUUGGGUUUAAAGGGUGCGUAGGCGGGCUGUUAAGCGUGAGGUGAAAGCUCGGGGCUCAACCCCGGAACUGCCUCGCGAACUGGCGGUCUUGAAUGUCCGUGCCGUGGGUGGGAUGUGUGGUGGAGCGGUGAAAUGCAUAGAGAUCACACAGAACACCGAAUUAGAAGGCAGCUCACGAACGGAUGAUGGACGCUGAGGCACGAAAGCGUGGGGAUCAAACAGGAUGAGAUACCCUGGUAGUCCACGCAGUAAACGAUGAUAACUAACCGCUGGUAAGUAAUUAUCAGUGGCCAAGCGAAAGCGAUAAGUUAUCCACCUGGGGAGUACGACCGCAAGGUUGAAACUCAAAGUAAUUGACGGGG